rnacentral:misc_RNA from 1 species
UAUGACUUCUUUCCCAUCAGACCUAUCAAGUAAACCACGCAAGAAUAUUUAGCCAGAUGAAAUUGCAAACAUAAAACCCAAAAUUACAGCUAACAACGCUGUCCUUGCAUAAUAACAGAGCUCAAUGACAAUGCUCCUAAUUGGCUAUUUCUGUCUCCCUCUUUUUGCAAUAAGCAAAUGCAUACAGAUUUUUGGAUAUAGGGAUUUGAUGUAACUGACUAUGAAUGUCUUUGUAGUAGGCUAGGGUUUGAUGAAUUAGGAUUAAGGGUUUGAAUUGCACAAAAGACAGGAAUAUGGACAAAUUAACAGGGGUUCACUUGGUCAUUACUGGAUCACUGGAUUGCAUUAAAAAGAAAUGCUGCUGAAAGUUUCUAGCAUCAGCUUGCUAAGGGUGUUUAGGAUUCUUUGAGAGACUAUUUAAUGAGGAAAAAAUAGGGCAAUUCUCAAUUGGAUCUUACAACAGUGAAUGGAGUACAAAACAGCAUCCAACCCAAAUACCGAACAAGUACAAGCAUUACCUCUCCCUGAAAAGGAGGUGACCCAACAGCAAGUUUCCAGCAUUAAAAAAUACCAAGUGCAGGUUUGUAAUAAAACAAUAGAGCACAAUGCAAUGUAAUGAAGUGAAAUACCUGUUCAUCACUCUAUAUCAUGAAUUAUUCAAUCUUUUUCUUAUAUCCAAAAAUAAUAAUAAUAGCAAAUCCAAUAUUAAACCUUUUGCAUCAAAGCGAAAUACAAACCUUUCUCGUUUUCUUACUACUGUAAAUAUCCCAUCUAUACAGACAGAGCCUCUAUAAUCUUCUUUAGCCUAGAUACUCAAAAGGCCAUUACCCACUCUGUAUACACUCAAAUAGGACUCCAAAAGGUGUAAUCCAGAAAAGAUUUAAGCAAUUUUGGCAAUAUAUGACCACUAUCAAAAGUUGAAGCCACACCCUUGCAUUUGUAAAACUGAUACUUGUAUAUUUGCAUCAAAUUUAGGUGGGACUGAAAGAAGGUUGAUCAUAUGGCAAGGAUCCAAAUCAUAUCUUUUCAAAUCACGCAGUUGAAAAUGCCAACCCAAGUCAACAGAGCACCAAACAUAAGCAGAAUCCCACAAUAAUAUAUGGUGAGGGCAGAUCCCUGUAAGAGUUUAUUUGAAGAACACUUGGAAAUAUUUGAAGAUUUAAAAGAUGAGCCAGGGGGAGGGAGAGAAAAAGAUGAGCCAGGGGGAGGGAGAGAAAAAGAUGAGCCAGGGGGAGGGAGAGAAAAAGAAAAAAGGCAAGUGUCUUUUGGCAUCUGAAGGAUUCUGUUCACACUGAGGUUUUCAUUUGGUUUUGGACUUCUGGUAUUAGUACUUAAUUUUUAUGGAGACAUGAUCAAGUUAAUGAGAGUGAGCUAUAUCAGCAAGUGAGCUGGAAUAGGAAGUUAAAUCUUCUAUAAGGCAAUGGAAGAGCAUUUUGAUAUUGGCAAGAAACUUUAUUAGCUGGCUGUCACUUUAUGACAAUUUUAAGAGAAAAUAUAUUAAGCCAAAGGGAAUAUAAUAAUUUUGAAUUGGUGUUUUCAGAAAUAAGUGGGAAAACCAUUGA